rnacentral:rRNA from 1 species
GAACGAACGCUGGCGGCGCGUCUUAAGCAUGCAAGUCGAACGGCAAGAGGUAGCAAUACCUCCUAGAGUGGCGGACUGGUGAGUAACACGUGGGUGACAUACCCUUCAGAUGGGGAUAGCUAUAGAAAUAGUAGAUAAUACCGAAUACGAGCACAGGGGUUAGAGAUCUGUGAGGAAAGGAGCUAAGGCUCCGCUGAAGGAAUGGCCUGCGGCCCAUUAGCUAGUUGGUGAGGUAAGAGCCCACCAAGGCGAUGAUGGGUAUCCGGCCUUAGAGGGUGAACGGACACAUUGGGACUGAGAUACGGCCCAGACUCCUACGGGAGGCAGCAGCUAAGAAUAUUCCGCAAUGGACGAAAGUCUGACGGAGCGACGCCGCCGUGGAUGAAGAAGGCCGGAAGGUUGUAAAAUCCUUUUGAAACUGAAGAAUAAGCGUUGUAGGGAAUGACAGCGUGGUGACAGUAGGUUUUGAAUAAGCAACGGCUAAUUACGUGCCAGCCGCCGC